UACGUAGGGUGCGAGCGUUGUCCGGAAUUAUUGGGCGUAAAGGGCUCGUAGGCGGUCUGUCGCGUCGGUAGUGAAAACUCAGGGCUUAACCCUGAGCCUGCUUCCGAUACGGGCAGACUAGAGGUAUGCAGGGGAGAAUGGAAUUCCUGGUGUAGCGGUGAAAUGCGCAGAUAUCAGGAGGAACACCAGUGGCGAAGGCGGUGGUCUGGGCCAGUACUGACGCUGAGGAGCGAAAGCGUGGGUAGCAAACAGG
rnacentral:rRNA from 1 species